GUGUUCAUAGAAAAGGAGAGAUGAUUGGCAUUUCCUUUGAUAAGGAUGAGAACAAUCUUUAGACUAUUCCUUCACAUAUGGUUAAGGCUAUUUACUACUAGUGGAUCUUACCCAGUUUUUUG